CCCAGCGCUGGUGGAGCCGAUUCCUCGGAGUGAAACGCUCUAGAGGUGUGCUGGUUACCUGAACGUCUAAGCAGGAUGAAGGCUUCCUGGCGCAACUGUCCCCGAGCGAAGAGGAGGAGAGCCCUUGGUGUUGAUUCAGAUUUCUGACUUCCUAUAUCGACAUAAAGGUGGCUGAAGAUCAGGCCAGGUGAAAGAUCUGAUGUUUCCCUUGCUUCAUAUGGGCAUUUCGCGUCUUGAACUGGACUGAGCAACACAGCAUUCCAAGGACUUCUGCUUUUUCCAGGGAUCGAACUGGGGACCUUGCGCUUGUGAGGCAGGCUGUGGAACCACUGAGCUAAAUCUCCGGCCCUUUCCAGUUUUUUGGAGAAACUCAAGGGAAGACUCCAUCAAUGAAGGCAUCCUCACAAGUCAGGAAGACACCCCUGGAGGUGUGGCCUCUACGUUCCAGAAGUGCGAGGAGAUGUGUGCUUUUCUACAGAAG